GUAAGGAAUAUUGGACAAUGCCCGCAAGGGUGAUCCAGCCAUGCCGCGUGCAGGAAGACGGCCCUAUGGGUUGUAAACUGCUUUUACACCGGAGAAAACCUUCCCUCGUGAGGGGAGCUGAUAGUAUGGUGAGAAUAAGCAUCGGCUAACUUCGUGCCAGCAGCCGCGGUAAGACGAAGGAUGCAAGCGUUAUCCGGAUUCAUUGGGUUUAAAGGGAGCGUAGGUGGCCUUAUAAGUCAGUGGUGAAAUCUCUCAGCUUAACUGAGAAAUUGCCAUUGAUACUGUAGGGCUUGAGUAUAGUUGCCGUUGGCGGAAUAUGACAUGUAGUGGUGAAAUACAUAGAGAUGUCAUAGAACACCGAUUGCGAAGGCAGCUGACGAAACUAUAACUGACACUGAGGCUCGAAAGUGCGGGGAUCAAACAGGAUUAGAAACCCCAGUAGUCC
rnacentral:rRNA from 1 species